rnacentral:rRNA from 1 species
GAAAUAACUACGGUGCGAGUAGAGUGGCGGACGGGUGAGUAACGCGUGGGAAUCUACCCAGUAGUGGGGGACAACUACCGGAAACGGUAGCUAAUACCGCAUACGCCCUAUGGGGGAAAGGCUUCGGCCGCUAUUGGAUGAGCCCGCGUCAGAUUAGCUAGUUGGUAGGGUAAAGGCCUACCAAGGCAACGAUCUGUAGCUGGUCUGAGAGGACGAACAGCCACACUGGGACUGAGACACGGCCCAGACUCCUACGGGAGGCAGCAGUGGGGAAUAUUGGACAAUGGGCGGAAGCCUGAUCCAGCAAUGCCGCGUGUGUGAAGAAGGCCUGCGGGUUGUGAAGCACUUUCAGUUGGGAAGAUGAUGACGUUACCAACAGAAGAAGCACCGGCUAACUCCGUGCCAGCAGCCGCGGUAAUACGGAGGGUCCGAGCGUUAUCCGGAAUUAUUGGGUUUAAAGGGUCCGUAGGCGGAUGAUUAAGUCAGGGGUGAAAGUUUGCAGCUCAACUGUAAAAUUGCCUUUGAUACUGGUUAUCUUGAGUUGUAUUGAAGUAGGCGGAAUAUGUAGUGUAGCGGUGAAAUGCAUAGAUAUUACAUAGAACACCAAUUGCGAAGGCAGCUUACUAAGUACUAACUGACGCUGAUGGACGAAAGCGUGGGUAGCGAACAGGAUUAGAUACCCUGGUAG